rnacentral:rRNA from 1 species
GAUGAACGCUGGCUACAGGCUUAACACAUGCAAGUCGAGGGGAAACGACGGGGAAGCUUGCUUCCCCGGGCGUCGACCGGCGCACGGGUGAGUAACGCGUAUCCAACCUGCCUCUGACUGAGGGAUAACCCGUCGAAAGUCGGCCUAAUACCUCAUGGCAUCGUCUGCGGGCAUCCAACGACGAUUAAAGAUUUCAUCGGUCAGGGAUGGGGAUGCGUCUGAUUAGCUUGUUGGCGGGGUAACGGCCCACCAAGGCUACGAUCAGUAGGGGUUCUGAGAGGAAGGUCCCCCACAUUGGAACUGAGACACGGUCCAAACUCCUACGGGAGGCAGCAGUGAGGAAUAUUGGUCAAUGGGCGGGAGCCUGAACCAGCCAAGUAGCGUGCAGGAUGACGGCCCUAUGGGUGGUAAACUGCUUUUAUGCGGGGAUAAAGUGAGGGACGUGUCCUUCAUUGCAGGUACCGCAUGAAUAAGGACCGGCUAAUUCCGUG